rnacentral:rRNA from 1 species
GAUGAACGCUGGCGGCGUGCCUAAUACAUGCAAGUCGAACGAGGUGCUUUUGUAGCAAUACGAGAGUAUCCUAGUGGCGAACGGGUGAGUAACGCGUUGGUGACCUGCCCCAAAGUGUGGGAUAACAGUCCGAAAGGAUUGCUAAUACCGCAUGUGGUCUCUGGGUUUAGAAACCGGUGACUAAAGGAGUAAUUCGCUUUGGGAGGGACCUGCGUCCCAUCAGCUAGUUGGUGAGGUAACGGCUCACCAAGGCGACGACGGGUAGGGGGCCUGAGAGGGUGACCCCCCACAAUGGAACUGAAGAACGGUCCAUAACACUACGGGUGGCAGCAGUAGGGAAUAUUGGUCAAUGGGCGAAAGCCUGAACCAGCAACGCCGCGUGUGCGAUGAAGGCCUUCGGGUCGUAAAGCACUUUUCUGGGAGAUGAGAAAGGACAGUAUCCCAGGAAUAAGUCUCGGCUAACUACGUGCCAGCAGCCGCGGUAAUAC